ACGGGGUGCACCAGGGGCGAAACCUCCGCAAUGCGGGCAACCGCGACGGGGGGACCCCCAGUGCCGUGGCACAGCCACGGCUUUUCCGGAGUGUAAAAAGCUCCGGGAAUAAGGGCUGGGCAAGGCCGGUGGCAGCCGCCGCGGUAAUACCGGCGGCCCAAGUGGUGACCGCUAUUAUUGGGCCUAAAGCGUCCGUAGCCGGGCCCGUAAGUCCCUGGCGAAAUCCCACGGCUCAACCGUGGGGCUUGCUGGGGAUACUGCGGGCCUUGGGACCGGGAGAGGCCGGGGGUACCCCUGGGGUAGGGGUGAAAUCCUAUAAUCCCAGGGGGACCGCCAGUGGCGAAGGCGCCCGGCUGGAACGGGUCCGACGGUGAGGGACGAAGGCCAGGGGAGCGAACCGGAUUAGAUACCCGGGUAGUCCUGGCUGUAAAGGAUGCGGGCUAGGUGUCGGGCGAGCUUCGAGCUCGCCCGGUGCCGGAGGGAAGCCGUUAAGCCCGCCGCCUGGGGAGUACGGCCGCAAGGCUGAAACUUAAAGGAAUUGGCGGGGGAGCAC
rnacentral:rRNA from 1 species